rnacentral:rRNA from 1 species
GGUUUAAUUCGAUGAUACGCGAGGAACCUUACCCGGGCUUGAAUUGCAGAGGAAGGAUUUGGAGACAAUGACGCCCUUCGGGGUCUCUGUGAAGGUGCUGCAUGGUUGUCGUCAGCUCGUGCCGUGAGGUGUCGGCUUAAGUGCCAUAACGAGCGCAACCCCUCUCCUUAGUUGCCAUCAGGUCAUGCUGGGCACUCUGGGGACACUGCCACCGUAAGGUGUGA